GUGAAUCAUCGAAUUUUUGAACGCAAAUUGCACUCUCUUCGGAGAGUAUGCCUGUUUGAGGGUCAGCAUUUAUAAAAAUCGGUUUGUUGCUUCUUUGUGACGCCGCGGAGUUUGGGUCAUCUUAAUAUACUUUAUUUUUUAAUAGGCUUAAAAUUGUCUUUUUUUGCUCAUUUUAGAUGUACAUAAAUUCUUUUUUUUAUUCGUCUGUCUUAAUGCUCAUAAUCAUAUGAGAUGCGAAUAUAUCGUGUGGUU
rnacentral:misc_RNA from 1 species